rnacentral:scRNA from 1 species
UAUAAUGAAGAAGGGAGAAUUGAACAAUGGGU